rnacentral:lncRNA from 13 species
GUAGUGUCAGCCCACCCAAAGUUCAUUUUUGAAUUUUUGUUCUUACGUAUUUCUUUGUGUGUGGGAAUAUAUUUUUGUUGUUAGGUGGGUGGACUAUGUGUGCGUUUGUAUGUGUGUGCCCACUUUGCUCUCCUAUUGCAUUGUAAUACGAGCACACCCUGAGAUGUGGUGAGGAGAGAGGUUACCAUGGAGACAGACUCAGCACAUCUUCCUGUAAACGAUUGCACAUACGCACUUUCAAAACGCAUGCGUCCCCGCUCCAGACUCCUGGCUAAGAGGGGCCUACCCACUAUCAGGGAGGGAUAUGAGGAGCUGGUCCAGGACAUGAACCAGGCCAACAGCCUCCACCUCCCUCCCCAUGGCCAGGUCCACUCCUCUCUGUCUACCCAGGACUACUUCCUGUCCAUCUGUCAGCUCGCCUGCCCAACCUUCCCACUGGCCCAACCUGACUGUGACAUCCUCACUGUAGGCUCGAUGGCCUCUCUGAGGCCCUGCCUGAGGCUGCACAGACUGAGGGACCCUGUGCCACUCUGUCAGCCUCUGAUUUCCAACGUCAGCCACCACACACAGUUAGAGCAGGAGGAGAGUCAAAGUGAGUGUAGUGGCCCAGAGAGAGUGGUGAAUGUCAGCUCAGGUCAGACCUCCAGUAGGGUUCUCCCCAGUGUCUCUGACCCCCUAGAGUUCAUCUACGGUCAUGGGGAGGAACUCCUCUUAGCUGCCUGUCACGCCCCUGACUCACAGGGCUGUAAGGGUGAGGGGAGAGAGAGUGUGACCCAGCUUCGACCACAACCCCCGCUACGCGCCGACAGUUUCCCACGCAUGUGUUCCGCGCCUCUGACACAGCACAAAGGCAGCUGCCCUGAGCUCUGCCUGAUGGACCCCUCUGACCAAGAGAAGCAAAACCCUGACCCUGCUCCACCACAGACAUCUUCAUCAGACCAGCAGAAACCUGAUGCCUCCAGCCCACUCUCCUGGAGGUUCCAGAACGACUCAGACAGGGCCCCUGCUGGUGGGAGGGGGAAGUGCACUCGCUACAUGGACAAACACACAAUGGUAUCACACUGGAUCGCUGACUGUCGCUCGGCCUGGAGAGAAGCCAGAGUCAGGGUGUGCAUGCUUCCUGCCAUUGCAGAGAUGUAGACACAUAGAUCAGGUACAACCCUGUUAAGCCCUGCUGAGUAUUGUACAUAAUGGAUCCUUGAUGUACUAUACGUCCCACUUGAUUGGUAUGUUUGGACAAUGCAGGCCCAUAUUGCAACAUCUUCUCCUCGAUGACUUUUCAGGCCUGACCUUUUUGCUUUACACUUUGUAAUUUAAGACAUAUUGUAAACUAGCGUAUGCCUCACAAAAUAUCACAGUCGGUGGAAAGUUGAUCAUGCCUUUAGAAGAUUUUGGAAGACUAGUAUUUGGGUGAAUAAAGGUAUGUGGAAAAGAUGCUGAAUUUUCUAUGAUUAUGUACAAAGGCCUAUCAUUAAAAAACAUGACGGAUCCUAAUCUUUCCGGUGUAGCGAGUUAGUGAUUCCAUAACUAUCGCACUCCGUUCUUUGCUAAUGAUAACUCUGGUCAAAUCCAGUUGGCAGCUAAAACAGGAAAACCAUUCUACUUUGAGAGUUUCAUAACAAGUGAAAUGGUACAGUGUUAGAAACGGAACUGAAGAAAAUGUGAUCCUACAGCUAGUUCAGGCUCCCUAUAGCAGAGUAUUUCAACUCAGAUUAUUCCCAGUGGUUCUGAAAAUGCUUCUUGCGAUUUCCUCUUCCCUGUAUGAUAUAGGAGUUAUGCAAUGACAAUGUAGGUGUGUGCAAAACUGAGCAGUCUGUUUCAAUCUUCCACUUACUAAAGCCAUGAUGAAAUAGUACAGAUAUUUUCAAUCAUAUCAUGUAAUUCCCACUGAGUGAAACAGCAUGUGAGAUUGUUGUAUUUCACUUUUUGAUUGUGUGUUCUAAUGGUCCUCCAUGUUGUACAAUGUCUGUCAAAAUAUAUCAAUUGAAAGACAACAAUAUUAUCAUUGACUUGUAAACGGUUGAGAGUUCAAUCAUGCACCCGAGUGGCGCAGCUGUCUAAGGCACUGUAUGGCAGUGCUAGAGGUGUCACUACAGACCCGGGUUUGUUUCCAGGCUAUGUCACAACCGGCCCGUGAUCGGGAGUCCCAUAGGGAGGAACACAAUUGGCCCGGCAUUGUUCGGGUUAGGGGAGGGUUUGGCCGGGGGNNNNNNNNNNCACUGUACAUUCAUAAAAUCAAUUUUGCACAUGAUUAUGCUCAGCCACAGAAUGGGAUGGAGGUGCUAUUUUUAGUCGGCCAAGGGAGGAGAGGGAGAGCAGGGAAGCGAGAGAGAAAAGGGGGUGGGGACAAGUCAUUAUUUUCGUGAUGUAGCUGUAGCUGGGGAGAGAUUGGAGAUCACCAGUUGGUUGGAGGCAGCUUGUCUAGAGGCAGCUUGGUUGGAGAUCACCAGUUGGUUGGAGGCAGCUUGGCUAGAGGCAGCUUGGUUGGAGAUCACCA